UCGGACUUGGUCUGUCUGUCUGCCUUCGACAAGGUCAGCGGAGAAAAUCCCUCUCUUCAAUUUAAUUUCCAUGAGCCACGUUAGAUUUGUGAGACAGAUCUGAAGUUACAUGGUGACAUAGGUCCUAAAUCCAGCCAGGAACUAAGGCCAGAGACGGGGCUCAGGCACAGGCAUACCAACAAAACAGCUCAGGCAGGUACUGAAGGCCGCCGGGGCUGAGCUGCAAUCUGGCUCCUGGGCCCAGGAGCAGGGGGUGUGGAGGGAGGCCCCCAGGGCAAGCUGCUCAGGCCAUUAAGACCUCUCAGUGCCCUCCAGGCCCUGACAUAGAAUCUGUCUACAUAGUCCUGUAAAAAAAGCCAGCUGCUGCAGGACCAGUGUGAGCUAAUACAAUAGGGAAAAAAGAAAAAGGACAGUGCCUCUUCUCCUGUAUUUCAAGGUAGGUUUAGGCAGUGAAGGUUCGCUUGCAUGGAGUCCAGCUCUGACUUGGUAGCGCAAGUUACCCAGAGUCUCGAACAUGUGGAGGAACUAAAACUCUCAAGUGUGUACUGAGUCAUUUUCUUAGGAAAGCCUGUGCAACCAAAAGUGGUAUGGAAAUAGCUAUAGCUACUUAGCUACUUCCAGGUUGGGAGGGGUUUUGGUCCGCUGUUUUUACCACUUAGAGGGCAGAGCUGAAAGCCAUCUUUUACCAGCUAGUCUUAUUUUAAGUACAUCUAUACGUUAAGUUAUGUAUCUCUGAACAGCCAUCUAAAUUCAGACUCCAUGAAACCCGCUCUUUGGGUUACUUGGCUGCAUCAAGACAUGCAUAUCAGACAGCACAAAUCUAUCCAAAUGGGGAUCCUAAACAGCUUUCAGACAGUCUCUUUGUCAUAACUUAAUGUGUAUAAUGUAUCCCUACCUCUUCCUCAUAUGUAGAAGAAUUAAAGGGAGUGGUUGAUACCAGCAAGAAGAAAAAGCACUAAAGAGAGACAGCUGGGAAAAGACAGACAACAAGGCCUGUUCCGGGAAAGUAGCUAUGUCUAGGCCCUUAUGUGUAAGUAGUUCACUGCUUUUCUUAAAUCCACAGUUACUCUGUGCUGUGACAGCUGAGUGCUGUGAUACCCAAGAUAUCUACAACCACCUUCUUCUCAGCCAGCUCCUUUUGGCACCUCUUGCCAGUUAUGCCAUCUUAGUGCCUCAGCCUAGACCCACUGUCUAGCCGUGCACCUAUGAUCUUUCAGGCCCAACUUUGCGUAACCCUGUCUGUGUUCAGGCCUGACCACAGCGUCAUGUUUCCAUCUUCCCUAUCAGUGAACAAAUCCAAUCCUUAAUACCUUGUUUUCUCUUUAAUUUGUGUUUGGUUGUUCUUCAGAAUAAUAAUCAUCUUUUUACUCUCUUUUUACUCUGCCUCGCAACAGAGCCACGAGCCACAAGUCUUACUCUAACAUUAUCACAGCACAAGUUCAAAGGACUUGCAAGCUCUCCUCCCUUCUCUUUCCAUCCUACCUCCAUCCCUCUAUUCGCUGUCUCCUAGGACCUCCAUUUCUCUAUUUUAUCAUCCUUUGAUCUUUUUCCUCAGGGGAAGGAGCAAUAAGGCUAUCGAUAAUAGCAAUAAUACUUGAAAAGUAGGAACCUGCCUGACCAGCCUGGCACCCAGAACCGCCAUCUGCUGAUCUCCAAGCAUGGACCACAAGAGGGAGCAUUUUGUUCAGUUUAUUGGCAAAGACUAUUUUUCCCUAUGUGAAGCAGAGAGGAAAAACCCAGUUUCUGGUUAGAUCUUGAUGUCUUCGCUCCAUUUUCAGUUGCAAGUGAAGCUGCCAAAUAAGGUCAAGUACAAGAAUGUCAGUAAUGCGGGAUCAAAUGCAUGAUCGACUGGAUGAUCUGCUAUCAUGGUGUGACAGCUAUCAUUUACCACUGAGCACUCAACAAGGAUCGGGAGUGUCGGCCACAGAACAUCUGCUGCAUUUCCUCCCAAGAAUGAAUUACACCACGAGUGGAUCCUCCAGUGAUACUAUAGCUGGAAUCAGCUGAGGGAGAUAGCACUAAAAGCCGUGCAACUUUCCACAGAGGAGAGAGAACGGAAGACAUCUCACUUCAUCAGCCAAAAAUCACUGCUUAUUAACUAACCUGAAGUGAAUUAGAACAACUGAUUUACUCAGAAUUUGACCGUCAUAGCAAGGGAAGAGUUUUUUUGCAAUAAAAAAAAUUCAGUCUUUUCUAAAAUGGUGCUUCGUACAUUACGAGGACAUGUCUUUUUUAAUCAGGCCCUCAACAUCUUUAUAGCUUCACUUCAACUAACAAUAACUAGAACUGAAUGAGAUCUGAAUAAGGCCAUACUAGUACAUUCAUUAAUAGAACAGAGGCCUAUUUGGGAAGUAUAAAACAUCUGAGAUUUCUGAAUUGUCUUUAAGGAUUGGAACAUAAUAUGUUAUUUUUGUUGACAUUUAUUGUGCUUCUGGUGAAUAAAUAGGCUGGAAGAAUAUGAACAGGAAAUUCUAUUCACAAGAUAAGCAGCUGUUAGCCCCUAAAACUUCAGAAGUUCAUAAGGGCCCAAAAAAUUUCUUUCUAUGACGGAUUUAAUGAAUAGUCAGCAUUCCACAUCAGCCAAAGGAAAUGCUUGAAGGCAGUUUUUACAGAUGCAAUCAAAUCUUGUGUUUGUGUGAAGACGGACAGAGCCUGCCAUUUGUUUGUGAAAUAACAGUUUCAAAGGUUAUGCUUUCACCACAAAAAUCUUGAACUGUUGUCAUCCUAAAAUGCUGGAGAACCAGACUAUUUUGUAACUUACUGUUCAAUUUCUGGAAGCAGACUUGGUCCAGAUCAUGUUAUUGUUUUCAAAUUGGAAAUCCUCACUGCUUUUAAUGCACAUUUCUUGAAAAGUGUUCCAGCCUAGCUCAUAGUCAUCUACUAAAUAGCUAACAGAAAACUGCUUCAGUCUUUUGAUCUUAUAUUUGUGGCCCAUAGACUCUACAGUUUUGCACGUAAAUUCACAAAGGAAGCAGUAACAAAAGCAUGUCAGGAGUAUUAAUAAGAACAUGAGAUGGAUAUGUCUUGCCAACUUUCUCACUGCAGUGCAAUGAGACACAUCUUUUAGCUGGUGUAGAUAGCAUAACCUCAUUUACUACAGCUAUGCUAAUUUACAUCAGCCAAAGUUGCAGACCUGAUGAAUCACUGGUAAUUCUGGGAAUAAUUCAUGCUUCUUCUGAAAUAUUUGUUCUUGGAAAUGUGGUGUUUGUACACAAUGCAUGAUGAUUAGGCAAUAUGAUUUUAUAUGAAAUCAUGAAAAUGAACGUGAAAUUCAAACAACUUACUGCAGGUUCUAUAUGAUCUAUUUGUAGAAGAAUACUGAAACUUUAGAGCCCUGAAUUCCUUCCAGUGGAAAAAAUAUCUAAGGAGAUUGGCAUUCAUGAAAUCUUAAUCCAAGAAGGCCAGAGAAGUAGUAAGCCACACUCCUUGCAGGGAGGCUGACACAAUUACUUAAAACCCUUCACAAGCCCAUGACAGAGAACAUGACUGGUCUUCAAUUAAAUUGGACUUAAGUUGUCUUCAACAUAUAAUAAGCCAAAUUAUAAUAUUUACGUUCUAAACUUCACUACUCUAACAAUAGAAUUUGGCAUCUUUUCUGUAUUUUCUCUUCCAAAUCGAGGCUAGAAGGAAGUUUUACUUGCAAUGGACAAGAAAUGUAUAUUUAAAUGUCUCUAUGAUCAAAACAAUGCAACUCUGCAUAUGGAAUUCUCAUCAAGCACAGGGUAGAUUUAUCUUCUGAAGAAAAUAUAAUGGCCUGAAUUGCAAUUAUACACAAGCAUUAUGUUACUCAGUUUCAGAAGGAAAAAAUAUAGUAGCAGACAACCUAGACAAGAUAGAAUAUCUUCAAAAUGCAUCAUUAAUUGUUUGAUAAACUGAGAAACUCCUCAAGCACGAUGGAACUACAGAGUAGAGACAGCACACUGCUCAGUCUGUGUUACACAAACAGAACAGAGCUCUUUUUGCAUUCAAACUGCCUCUGGGCCAUGGCAAUUCCAAUCUGAUAGGCAGCUGAAUACUCAGCUACCUUGGACCAAAACAGAUCCAGUAACUGUAAUUAUUUCCUCUCACUUCCCUAUCACUUACACAUCCUUGGAAGGUGCAGAAUCUGGAAACCAUAUUGUGAAAAGGGAAUAAAAGAUUUUUCAAGAAUGUCUUUAUCUCAACCUGGAAAAUGAUGCUUUUUUCCCUCUAUUAUCUAGUAUACUGUUUUCCCAGUAAUUCCUAAAAUGCACAGAGGUAGAAACAAAUUGUGACAUUUAUACAUAUUUAUUCCUGUCCUCAUAUUUGGAAGUAUAUUUUCCCUGGAAAGAAUUGAAUAAUUUUAUUUUCUUCUUCUUCUGUUUUUUAUAAAUACUUUUUUCAAAAUGGAAAUAGAUGUUUCAAUUCUGAUCAAGCUUGAAAGAAGUAUUUUGUUGCAAGAGAAAGCAUUAUUUGAACUUUGAUGUUUAUGUGCGUAUGUAUUUCAUUAACAUGUGUUUGCAGAUGUAUGUCAUUAAUGUCUAUUUGUAUAGUAAAGCUGAUAUAAAAUUUCGCUAAUUAAAGAGUUUCUGCAAUGUUUCAGAAACGUAUUUAUAUGUCUAGUCUACAGGAAACUAGAAUUUCCCUUGAAUCACAUUCUAAAUUAACAACCUGCAUUUUAGAAUGAGCAUUCUCCAAGACCUAACUGCCAAACUAGGGCGUAUCUCACUGAGCUUGGACAGAAGUUACAUCUUUUUUCAUCCCUGUUUUCCUAUCCCGGGCAUUUAUGCUUCUUUCCCCACUUUUCUCUGAAUCAUUACUUGGGUAAACUGAAGUUCCUGCUUCCCUGUUGAUAAAGGCAACCUUCUGGAUUUUGCUGAGUGCUAGCACAUGUUACAGUGCUAGCACUGCAAUCUCAAUGGAUUAAGUCAGUAGGCUCUUGUGUUUUUAUUUAUAACAACCUUUUCAUUUGUGUCUGUACUGAAAAAGUGCUGAGGAUUCUUGUUUGUAUUAGCUGAAAGGAUGAACUUCCCAAAGGCUCCCUUGGAAGCGGCAGGACUCCUUGGUCACAGCGGUGAGACUCAUAUUGAGUUCAACGGGAAAAUCCACCCUGAAUUGUCUCCGAAACCUAAACAGAAAACUACGUAUAUCACACUUAGCUGAGCUAUUGUCUCAGGCUGUCUGCCAAUACUACUUCAGAAAAUGUUCAAGUCCAGCUUUCCAGGCUACCCUUCAAAUUCAUAUCGACAGCUGCCAAGAAGCUUUUUUAAGUAAGAGUGAAUCUGAAGCUUUAUUGACACAGAAGGGGAAGACAGCUGGGUUUAGUUAUCAGAGAUAAUUUACAUAUCACCAGGUAUUCCCAGCUAGGCAUGGAUAGACUGACCUCUACAGAAACCGAAGGCAGCAGUUUUUAUGAAGAUACAUUUGUGCUUGCUUUGCUGUCACUAUACCUAGCUGCUGGUGCUCACGCUGUCUCCUUUGCUUGCACAGGAAAUCCAGAAUAUCUGUAACGAAGCACACCCCAGCCUACUCUGAAAUACUCU